GAACGACUCUCGGCAACGGAUAUCUCGGCUCUCGCAUCGAUGAAGAACGUAGCGAAAUGCGAUACUUGGUGUGAAUUGCAGAAUCCCGUGAACCAUCGAGUUUUUGAACGCAAGUUGCGCCCGAAGCCUUCGGGCCAAGGGCACGUCUGCCUGGGCGUCACGCA
rnacentral:rRNA from 1 species